rnacentral:rRNA from 1 species
AUUGAACGCUGGCGGCAGGCUUAACACAUGCAAGUCGAGCGAGCGGCGGACGGGUGGGGUAUGUCUGGGACAAUCUCUGGUGGAGGGGUAUAACUAAUGGAAACGGUAGCUUAUACCGUAUAAUAUCAGAUGUGCCCAGAUGGGAUUAGCUUGUAGGUGGGGUAAUGUCACACCUAGGCCACGAUCCCUAGCUGGUCUGAGAUUAUGACCAGCUACACGGGAACUGAGCCACGGUCCAGACUCCUACGGGAGGCAGCAGUGGGGAAGAUUGCACAAUGGGCGCAAGCCUGAUAUAGCCAUGCCGCGUGUGGGAAGAAGGCCUUCGGGUUGUAAAGCACUUUCAGCGAGGAGGCGUUACUCGCAGAAGAAGCACCGGCUAACUCCGUGCCAGCAGCCGCGGUAAUAC